GACAGAGGGUGCAAACGUUGUUCGGAAUUACUGGGCGUAAAGCGUGUGUAGGCGGCUUUGCAAGUCGGAUGUGAAAGCCCCGGGCUCAACCCGGGAAGUGCACUCGAUACUGCGGAGCUUGAGUGUCGGAGAGGUUGGUGGAAUUCUCGGUGUAGAGGUGAAAUUCGUAGAUAUCGAGAGGAACACCGGUGGCGAAGGCGGCCAACUGGACGAACACUGACGCUGAGACACGAAAGCGUGGGAGCAAAACAGG
rnacentral:rRNA from 1 species